rnacentral:rRNA from 1 species
GACGAACGCUGGCGGCAGGCCUAACACAUGCAAGUCGAACGCCCUAGCAAUAGGGAGUGGCAGACGGGUGAGUAACACGUGGGAACCUUCCCUAUAGUACGGAAUAGCCCAGGGAAACUUGGAGUAAUACCGUAUACGCCCGAGAGGGGAAAGAUUUAUCGCUAUAGGAUGGGCCCGCGUCGGAUUAGCUAGUUGGUGAGGUAAUGGCUCACCAAGGCAACGAUCCGUAGCUGGUUUGAGAGAAUGACCAGCCACACUGGGACUGAGACACGGCCCAGACUCCUACGGGAGGCAGCAGUGGGGAAGCUUGGACAAUGGGCGCAAGCCUGAUCCAGCCAUGCCGCGUGAGUGAUGAAGGCCUUAGGGUUGUAAAGCUCUUUUGCCGGGGACGAUAAUGACGGUACCCGGAGAAUAAGUCCCGGCUAACUUCGUGCCAGCAGCCGCCGUAA